rnacentral:pre_miRNA from 1 species
UUAACUAAAAUUUUCAUCGAGUUGGAACGUUUACCUACGUUUGCCGCUAGGGGCGCUGUUCCAACUGCAUACAAAUUGGAGGUU